UACGUAGGGUGCAAGCGUUAAUCGGAAUUACUGGGCGUAAAGCGUGCGCAGGCGGUUAUGUAAGACAGGUGUGAAAUCCCCGGGCUUAACCUGGGAACUGCGUUUCUAACUGGCAGGCUUGAGUGUGGCAGAGGGGGGUGGAAUUCCACGUGUAGCAGUGAAAUGCGUAGAGAUGUGGAGGAACACCGAUGGCGAAGGCAGCCCCCUGGGCUAACACUGACGCUCAUGCACGAAAGCGUGGGGAGCAAACAGG
rnacentral:rRNA from 1 species